UGUCUUAGUGGCGGACGGGUGAGUAACGCGUGGGUAACCUGCCUUACACUGGGGGAUAACACUUAGAAAUAGGUGCUAAUACCGCAUAACAGGGAAAGAUGCAUGUCUUUUCCUUGAAAACUCCGGUGGUGUAAGAUGGACCCGCGUCUGAUUAGCUGGUUGGCGGGGUAACGGCCCACCAAGGCGACGAUCAGUAGCCGGCCUGAGAGGGUGAACGGCCACAUUGGGACUGAGACACGGCCCAAACUCCUACGGGAGGCAGCAG
rnacentral:rRNA from 1 species